rnacentral:rRNA from 1 species
GACGAACGCUGGCGGCGUGCUUAACACAUGCAAGUCGAACGGAAAGGCCCUGCUUUUGUGGGGUGCUCGAGUGGCGACCGGGUGAGUAACACGUGAGUAACCUGCCCUUGACUUUGGGAUAACUUCAGGAAACUGGGGCUAAUACCGGAUAGGAGCUCCUGCUGCAUGGUGUGGGUUGGAAAGUUUCGGCGGUUGGGGAUGGACUCGCGGCUUAUCAGCUUGUUGGUGGGGUAGUGGCUUACCAAGGCUUUGACGGGUAGCCGGCCUGAGAGGGUGACCGGCCACAUUGGGACUGAGAUACGGCCCUGACUCCUACGGGAGGCAGCAGUGGGGAAUAUUGCACAAUGGGCGGAAGCCUGAUGCAGCAACGCCGCGUGCGGGAUGACGGCCUUCGGGUUGUAAACCGCUUUCGCCUGUGACGAAGCGUGAGUGACGGUAAUGGGUAAAGAAGCACCGGCUAACUACGUG